UCAAACUUGGUCAUUUAGAGGAAGUAAAAGUCGUAACAAGGUUUCCGUAGGUGAACCUGCGGAAGGAUCAUUAAUGAAUUACUUGGGUGUUGAUGCUGGUCUACGCAAGUAGGCAUUGUGCUCGCAUCCAUCUAUUCUAUCUAUCUCUUGUGCACCAACGAUAGCUUUGCUGGUUUCGGAGCUUGAGCAGAUCUGCACUUGCUCUGUUGAACAGUGGAGACCAUGAGCGGGAAACCGCACUGUCUCUGGUUCGCCUUCAGCAAAGCUAUACUUUAUAUACCCUUAGUAUGUUUUAGAAUGUCCCUUUAUUGACCUUUUGGUCGGUAAAUCUAUACAACUUUCAGCAACGGAUCUCUUGGCUCUCCCAUCGAUGAAGAACGCAGC
rnacentral:misc_RNA from 1 species